UGAGUUAUGAAUGUUUAAGUUAUGAACAAGCUGUACUUAUGAACAGGCCAUAAAGCCUAUUAAUUUUUUAAAAAAUACUGCAGAAAAUUGGCAU